rnacentral:rRNA from 1 species
UACGUAGGGGGCUAGCGUUGUCCGGAAUCAUUGGGCGUAAAGCGCGUGUAGGCGGUCCGGUAAGUCCGCUGUGAAAGUCGAGGGCUCAACCCUCGAAAGCCGGUGGAUACUAGCGGGCUUGAGUUCGGGAGAGGGAAGCGGAAUUCCGGGUGUAGCGGUGAAAUGCGUAGAUAUCCGGAGGAACACCGGUGGCGAAGGCGGCUUCCUGGACCGACACUGACGCUGAGGCGCGAAAGCGUGGGGAGCGAACAGG